AUUGCGGGGGCACGGGGGGCCUACGGGAGGCAGCAGUGGGGAAUAUUGCACAAUGGGCGAAAGCCUGAUGCAGCCAUGCCGCGUGUAUGAAGAAGGCCUUCGGGUUGUAAAGUACUUUCAGUUGUGAGGAAGGGUGUGUAGUUAAUAGCUGCGCAUCUUGACGUUAGCAACAGAAGAAGCACCGGCUAACUCCGUGCCAGCAGCCGCGGUAAUACGGAGGGUGCGAGCGUUAAUCGGAAUUACUGGGCGUAAAGCGCAUGCAGGUGGUUCAUUAAGUCAGAUGUGAAAGCCCGGGGCUCAACCUCGGAACUGCAUUUGAAACUGGUGAACUAGAGUGCUGUAGAGGGGGGUAGAAUUUCAGGUGUAGCGGUGAAAUGCGUAGAGAUCUGAAGGAAUACCAGUGGCGAAGGCGGCCCCCUGGACAGACACUGACACUCAGAUGCGAAAGCGUGGGGAGCAAACAGGAUUAGAUACCCUGGUAGUCCACGCCGUAAACGAUGUCUACUUGGAGGUUGUGGCCUUGAGCCGUGGCUUUCGGAGCUAACGCGUUAAGUAGA
rnacentral:rRNA from 1 species